GUAUUCCUAAAUAAAAAAUGAAAACCAACAAUUUAAUAAUAAAUAGGAGUCUUAUACUAUUGACUCGAUUACACCAUCAAAUAAAAUAAAUAUGAUAAUAUUUGACACACACUUAUAAGAAAAUAUUAAUAUGUAAAGCAUGAGAAGAUUACCAAUUUUGGUAUAGGUAGAGGAGAGCCUUGCUUUGAACUUAGAAUGAAGAUAGCAAGCAAUCUGCAUAGAAAAAAUUUACAAAAGUUGUCAAAACACUUGACUUGACUAGACAAAGCAUAAUUCAAUAAUCAUGAGAACAGAGAACACUCACAGAAAAAAUGCAUCUUGAAGAUGGGACCCAAAGAUUUGAGCUUCCAGUAUCAAACACAACAGUCAAAGGUUGUGGAGCUUUCAAUCUUUUAAGGCUUAAAGGCCACUUCUUGAGACUUAUUCUCAGAAACCCAUUAUCCGAAUCGGCGAAAACCAAGGAGGAGGAUAACAUAGAGAGUGCAAGAAGAAAACUUUUGAUCCUCAUGGUCACAGUCAUACAGUUAAUCUAUCUGGGAUGAAGUCAAAAACCUUGCUUUUGAAACAUAACAUUCAUAUAAUCAUACAUAAGUAUGAAGAUAAUUUUGCCUUUAAAACUAGAAAGAAUGAAGAGUUCUUUGUUGGUUAAACUUUAAACGUUAUAUGGAUUAGACAUAUAAGGAAAGAAGCAGGUAACUUCGUGGAGAAUGAAUACAAUAGUACUCUACUAAAACAAGUAUGUAACUAAACAAAAGUACUAUGAUUAACGUUUCUCGUUCUGAUUUCUAACACUAACAAGGUCAGCUCAAUCUUUAUCCCAUUCUUUCUUUCAUUCUUUGUGGCCUUAUUUUAACAAUUCAUGGUGAUAUUAUAGAUACAACUUUGUAUUUUGUACAAUUUUCUUUGCGUGUGGGAACUGAAUAAUUGUUAUGCAGUUAAAACUGUUUGAUUUGGAUUUUUCCUAUGGCAGAAAAAGGCCUGCGUUAAUUAUCUGGUGUCACUGUUGAAGACUGCAAUAGUAGUGAUCAAGUUGCAUAGAUAACAAAUACAGUUAUCCAUUAAUGUAUAUACAUACACAUAUAGUGAUUAAAUGGUAAUUAGAACUUUGUAUUUUAGCAGUCCAUUUCAACAAACAACAUUCUGUACAUGAGCAUGGAUUUUUUUUCCAGAUA